rnacentral:rRNA from 1 species
AGUUCGGAUUGCAGGCUGCAACCCGCCUGCAUGAAGUUGGAAUCGCUAGUAAUCGCGGAUCAGCAUGCCGCGGUGAAUACGUUCCCGGGCCUUGUACACACCGCCCGUCACACCAUGAGAGUCGGGAACACCCGAAGUCCGUAGCCUAACCGCGAAGGGGGCGCGGCCGAAGGUGGGUUCGAUAAUUGGGGUGAAGUCGUAACAAGGUAGC